rnacentral:rRNA from 1 species
CCUACGGGGGGCAGCAGUGAGGAAUAUUGGUCAAUGGACGAGAGUCUGAACCAGCCAAGUAGCGUGAAGGAUGACUGCCCUAUGGGUUGUAAACUUCUUUUAUAUGGGAAUAAAACGUUCCACGUGUGGGAUUUUGUAUGUACCAUAUGAAUAAGGAUCGGCUAACUCCGUGCCAGCAGCCGCGGUAAUACGGAGGAUCCGAGCGUUAUCCGGAUUUAUUGGGUUUAAAGGGUGCGUAGGUGGAUUGUUAAGUCAGUUGUGAAAGUUUGCGGCUCAACCGUAAAAGUGCAGUUGAAACUGGCAGUCUUGAGUACAGUAGAGGUGGGCGGAAGUCGUGGUGUAGCGGUGAAAUGCUUAGAUAUCACGCAGAACUCCGAUUGCGAAGGCAGUUCACUGGACUGCAACUGACACUGAGGCUCGAAAGUGUGGGUAUCAAACAGGAUUAGAUACCCGGGUAGUC